GGAAAGGCUUUUACUCGGAAGAGUAAUCUAGCAAAUCAUCAACUUAUUCACAGUGGAGUUAAAUUGUUCAGCUGUGAUCAGUGUGGAAAGGCUUUUACUCAUAAGAGUCACUUAAAAAAUCAUCAACUCAUUCACAGUGGAGUUAAACCAUUCAACUGUGAUCAGUGUGUGAAAACCUUUACUCAGCAUGAACAGUUGAUCCAUCAAUGCCCCCAUUCUGGUAGAAAGCAGUACCACUGUGACUCCUGUGAAAAAACUUUCAAGCACCAACAGGACUUAAAAUAUCACCAACGCAUCCACACUGGACAUGAUUUGUGGGUAUGUGAUCACUGUGGUGAACCAUUUGUAUGGUACUCACAGUUAAAAGCUCAUGAAGUGACCCACACUGGGGUUAAACCAUACCUUUGUGACCAGUGUGGCAAGCGCUACAGCGACAUUAAAUACCUCAAAGUUCACCAACGUGUCCACACUGGGGAGAGACCAUACAGAUGUAAUGAGUGCAAGAAGGCUUUUACAACUUUGUAUUCCUUGAAACAACACCAGCAGAUCCACACCAGAAAGAAAGCAUUCAAUCAGUGUCACAGUGAGCAGAACGGAAGAGAUGGACAAAACUCUCAGACUUGUCAGCACUCUGCCAAUGGUGAACAGUGCUGCUUUGACCAGUCUGGACCAACGUCCAACCAACAAGGAACCCUACAACGACACCAGCGUAUGCACACUGGACACAGACUGAACCCCUGCCAAGAAGAUUUCUCCAUGCAGGGUUCAGUAAAAGUUCAUGAAGUCCUCCACAAACUUAAAGUCCUUGAGAUCCGGCUUCACAGAAUUCAGGUCUAA